AACUUCUUCUGUCUUGGUAAUCGUGAGUUGACAGACACACAUGACACUUCAGGCAUCUCAAGUGCCACUGCCGCAAACACUCCUCAGGCAAACAGUCAGAACAGCCGGCGGUUCAUGAUUUAUGUUCAUUCAAAAGGGAUGAUAGUGGAUGAUGAAUAUGUAAUAUUGGGAUCUGCAAACAUAAACAGCGUUCAAUGGAGGGCACAAGAGACACUGAAAUUGCAAUGGGGGCAUAUCAGCCUCGUCAUACCUGGGCAAGAAAACAAUCUAAUCCACAUGGACAGAUAUAUGGAUA
rnacentral:misc_RNA from 1 species